GAUGAAGAACGUAGUGAAAUGCGAUAAGUAGUGUGAAUUGCAGAAUUCAGUGAAUCAUCGAGUCUUUGAACGCACAUUGCGCCCCCUGGUAUUCCGGGGGGCAUGCCUGUCCGAGCGUCAUUGCUGCCCUCAAGCACGGCUUGUGUGUUGGGCCUCCGUCCUCCUCCCGGGGGACGGGCCCGAAAGGCAGCGGCGGCACCACGUCCGGUCCUCGAGCGUAUGGGGCUUCGUCACCCGCUCUUGUAGGCCCGGCCGGCGCUUGCCGACACAUCAAUCUUUUUUCCAGGUUGACCUCGGAUCAGGUAGGGAUACCCGCUGAACUUAAGCAUAUCAAUAAGCGGAGGA
rnacentral:misc_RNA from 1 species